rnacentral:pre_miRNA from 1 species
AAAUCGCCCACUAAGUUUUGCAACUGUAGUAGUUUUGGCCCUCAAUGCCAAUUUUUGGUAAAAAAAAAAUAACACAUGACACCUCACUUAGGGUGCCACGUCAACGUAGACCGAGUCAAAAUUGGCCUUGGGGACAAAAACUGCCACAAAUGCAAAACUUAGGGGCGGUUU